rnacentral:rRNA from 1 species
AGGGAAUCUUCCACAAUGGACGGAAGUCUGAUGGAGCAACGCCGCGUGAGUGAUGAAGGUUUUCAGAUCGUAAAACUCUGUUGUAAGGGAAGAACCAGUACGUCAGGCAAUGGACGUACCUUGACGGUACCUUAUUAGAAAGCCACGGCUAACUACGUGCCAGCAGCCGCGGUAAUACGUAGGUGGCAAGCGUUGUCCGGAAUUAUUGGGCGUAAAGCGCGCGCAGGUGGUUUCUUAAGUCUGAUGUGAAAGCCCACGGCUUAACCGUGGAGGGUCAAUGGAAACUGGGAGACUUGAGUGCAGAAGAGGGAAGUGGAAUUCCAAGUGUAGCGGUGAAAUGCGUAGAGAUUUGGAGGAACACCAGUGGCGAAGGCGACUUACUGGACCGUAACUGACGCUGAGGCAUGAAAGCGUGGGGAGCAAACA